UUUGAAAUUUGAGGGGCGAGAGAGAGGAGACGCAGGCGGCGAGAGUACUCUAGCUGUCUGCGUCUCUC
ensembl:ncRNA Y39A3CL.12 ncRNA